ACGAACGCUGGCGGCAUGCCUAACACAUGCAAGUCGAACGCCCCGCAAGGGGAGUGGCGCACGGGUGAGUAACGCGUGGGGAUCUGCCCAUCGGUGGGGAAUAACUCAGGGAAACUUGAGCUAAUACCGGAUAAGCCCUUACGGGGAAAGAUUUAUCGCCAAAGGAACGGCCCGCGUCCGAUUAGCUAGUUGGUGAGGUAAUGGCUCACCAAGGCGACGAUCGGUAGCUGGUCUGAGAGGAUGACCAGCCUCACUGGGACUGAGACACGGCCCAGACUCCUACGGGAGGCAGCAGUGGGGAAUAUUGGACAAUGGGCGCAAGCCUGAUCCAGCCAUGCCGCGUGAGUGAUGAAGGCCUUAGGGUUGUAAAGCUCUUUUAGCAGGGAAGAUAAUGACGGUACCUGCAGAAAAAGCCCCGGCUAACUUCGU
rnacentral:rRNA from 1 species